CUUGCAUCAUCACAUGGCUCAGGAUUGUGGUCCAACAAAGAGAGGUCUUCACAUCAAUGUACUAGAACUGCGGGUGCAGCUAAGGAUCUAUUAUACAACAUUUGUUUGGAAAUCCAUGCCUGGAAUGUUCAGAAAUGGUUGAGCUAAGCCAACAGCAUGGCCUUUUACACAUGUGUCUGAAGAUAAGGUAGUAGAGGUGGUGAUUUACCCGCAGACAGAAAAAAGGAUAGUGCCAUUGGAAAAACAAGGACAUUCACAGCCAAAUUACUUACCAAAUAAGAUGAAGGAAAAAGAAUUAGCUCUGGCUUCUGAAGCUGCAUGUGCCAGAUUUGCCCAUGUAAUCAGCUGGAAGUACAAAGUGCAUUGCUUUGUUUAUUCUCAUGCACA